rnacentral:rRNA from 2 species
AAAUUUUCUUAAGGAACUCGGCAAAAUCCCAAUGGCCCACCAGGGCAUAUUGGAACACGGGCCUCGACUGUUUACCAAAAACAUAGCCCUCGGCCAAUAUGAAAAUAGAUGUAUAGAGGGUGAUGCCUGCCCAAUGGUUGUAUCUAAAAGCAGUUGAUAAAAGUCGACCUCGUAAGGACAAUUGAAUGGCCGCGGUAACACUGACCGUGAUAAUGUAGCGUAAUCAAUAGCCAAUUAAUUGUUGGCCAGUAUGAAUGGCGCCACGAAGGCCCCACUGUCUUAAGGAAAUUCCCAGUGAAAUUGAAUUCGUAGUGAAGAUGCUACGUCCAAUUUGUUAGACGAAAAGACCCCGUUGAGCUUUACUGGGGCACUUACACGGCCCUCGGCCUUCCCGUGCCCGGGAACCGGCCGAAUUUAAAUGGGUGGUUUAGACUAUGUGGCAGCCCCCCGCCGGGGCAGAUGAAACCCCACUCCCCCAUGUCAAAGGGGCUAACCCCCCCCUUGGGGGGGACAGUGUAAGUAGGACAGUUUGGUUGGGGCGACCGCCUUUUAAAGAGUAACGAAGGUGCGCUUAAGGUGCGCAAUUAAUGACUGAAGCCUGACUGCGAGGGGGAUACCCCGAGCAGACACCCCCCAAGCCCGCCCGAGGGCGGCGGUGGGGUGGGCCAUAGUGACCCGUU